GAAACCAAGUGUGGGUGUGGCCUGAAAAAGAAAUAGGGCGACCCAUCCUUUGUUUCUG
ensembl:miRNA